GCGCAGUGUGAUAGGGAUGGCGUAUUUUCUUGCACUGAGUAUUGCGGCGUCGCUGGCCGCUGAGGAGGGCGGAGAUUUCUGUGUGAAAUAGGGGGAGGGCUCCAAGGAAGCUUCAGGAAGAGCCGCAGUCUGAACAAUAAAGUGAGAAGUUGAUGUGGGUGCUGCUAGUCUCGUACCGGCGGCUUCAAGUCUGAGAUCAUCGUGGAACCGUCAACUUUGAAAUUUAUAAAACAUGGAGAAAACUAAAGAGAAGACUGAAAGAAUUCUUCUAGAGCCUUAUAGGUACUUACUUCAAUUACCAGGUAAACAGGUGAGAACCAAACUUUCACAGGCAUUUAAUCACUGGCUGAAAGUUCCAGAAGACAAGCUACAGAUUAUCAUUGAAGUGACUGAAAUGUUGCAUAAUGCCAGUUUGCUCAUUGAUGAUAUUGAAGACAAUUCAAAGCUCCGGCGUGGUUUUCCAGUGGCUCACAGCAUCUAUGCUCUUGUCCACCUAGAACCUGAACUCAACUCAAAGAUCUGUGUCCAGAGCGCAGGGACUAAAUGGAUGUACUUUACUCCCAGUAAAGCAUAUUUUAUGCAACACUACUUUCGGAAGAAUCACUAACUUUGUAUUGUUUAUCACUGUACUUAAAAAGGAAGCUGUGUCUGAAGAGAUAAUCUAUGAAACAAGGUUGUUACCUCUUUUGGGUUAAGUCAAUUGACUAUAAAGAACUGGACAUAAAAAAUGGAAUUAAGAGACUAGACAAACCUGUAAUACCACCACUGAGGCUGAGGCAAGAGGAUCAUGAGUUCAAGAACAGUCUGACCUCAUAGGAAGUUGGAGCCCAGCUGGAUUGCAUACUCAGACCUUUGUCUCAAAAAACAAAACUCCUGAGUUAAGGAAGCAGGGCAUUAUUGAAGGUAUUGUGAUGUUGCCUGCCUUGUGUGUGACAGCUCUGAGGAGAAAGGUAUCCUGGCAGUCGGAAGUCAAGGAAUAGCACAGAGACACACUGCAUAGCAAACCUAACACAAAAGAUUUAUUGGGAAAGACAAAAGAGGGCUACUGCCUCUGCUCCAGAGUAGAGAACUGAGCAGGAGGCAGGCUAUAUACAGUGUUUCUUAGUGGAGGUAAAGUUGGAGGAUGGCUUCCAGGAAGGCUGAGACUGGAAGGAUUUUGUGGCCUACUCUUGAGCUUUUUUAUGUAAGGUGGGGCCUGGCCACUCUCCUGCCUCAAGGGACUGAGAACAGCUGUUACUGCCAUCAGAGAAGUCUGGGGGGGUUAUGAGAGGGAAUUUGGUGGGGGAGGCCUAGCCACUCUUGCCUUAAGAGGCUUACAUCUCCCUUUUUGUUUAGUAUUGAUAAACAAUCAGGGGUCAGGAAAGGGGGGCAAAGUUAUCAUUAGACUACUUCCUGCUGGCUUGGAGCAUCCAAGUCCUUGGGGCAAGCUUGAUCUUCAACAUCGGGAUAAUCAAGAGUUACAGGCUGUGACUCUGGAGCUAGGGGUCUAUAAUCCUGUAAUAGCAACUGAUUAAAAGUCUGCUUAGAAAUCUUCUGGAUGUGUUAUUGAAGAAGUCUAGAAAAGAAGUUUAUAUGGCAGGGUGUGACCAGUAGGAUUAAGAAAAGGAGUAGAAGGGAGGCGCCAAGGAUAGUCUUCAAUUCCAUAUAGGACUGUCAGGGAUCCACUACUCAGAUGCAUUGAACUGUUUCUUAGGUCUUUGAAGAUCUGUUUUGAGUUGUCAGAUCUCACUUUUUACUAUAUGUGACUGGUUGACAUAAAAGCAGUAUUCCUCCUUGAGGAAGAGACAAAGACCACCUGUCUUUCACUGUUAGUAAAUCUGAUCCUUGCCAAUUUUAUAGCAAUGUGGUGGCUAGUGAGCCUACUUGGCCCUGGAGAGUGAGGAUGUUCUGAGCCACACAUUUGAGGUCCUGGAUGAACUGAGUUGAAAACUGAGAUAAAUAGCUAGGGAAGUAGUCCCACCAUUGAGAUGACUAUACCCAGAACUCCAAGAAAGGGUAUGACCUAGACAGUUUGUCAUGCCUUUCUGCUAUAAACUCUGUGAUAGGAACCAGCAAGGGUGCUUUAAUAGGAACCACCCAGAGUUUUGGAAAAAGGAAGAGCAGAAGUUCCAGACCACACAGCCGGUUGGCAGUGGUAAGAUGAGUGCCCGAGAGAAUCGGGGGGUUAUAAAUGUGUAGACAUAGGGCCUGUGUGGUAAUACUAAAGGGUAAGGUAUUACUGCAGUCUGCAGAAUCCAUUAUGCCCACAAAGCAUGUACCUGACGAGUAAAGUAGUUUGUGAUAGGAAAGAGAGCUGUGGAAGAGAUAAGGGCUGGUAGUGAUAUUUGGCUUAAAGAGCAAUUAAUGAGCAGGUGAUGUGAGAGAGUCUAAUAAGCCAAUGGGCAAGGCCACAAAUGGUGGUCAUGACUUUGACCCAGGAGGGACAUACAACCAACAUUCUUCAAAGCUGUCAGGCAGAGCAUUAUUGAAUAGCUGAUAUGUGGAGGUUAAGGUCUGAAAUGAGAUGUUAUGACACAGAGGUGGAUCAAUAUCAUCUAAGAGGGAUGAUAUUGGGGAUGUAAGGAUCUUUGAGGAGCAUAAGACCACUUCUUUUACUGUGUCUAUUACUAGUGGUUGAGAAAGUAGGGUGUGUACCCUCUGUAUUUUGAACAUGUCUGAUGGGCAGCUGUAAUAAAUGUUACAGUAAAAUUUACCAAUAACCCCUUCUUCCCAUCUGGGAUGCUAUGGAUCCUUAAGUAGAAUAUAAAAGAUUCUCCCAUUCUGCAUAAAAGAUAGAAUGCUUUUCUGAAUAUGCAUUAUGUCUCUUACAGGACUGAUAAGGACAGCCUCCAUAAGUCUGGCCAAUGUCAACAGUAAUCUCUGGUUUUGAUUUGAUCAUAGAGAAAGCAAACAUAGGGGUCAGGUGUUUUAGAAACUGAUGUAGGUGUUAUGGGAAAAAGUAUUAGCAACCUGCUGGUGAGUAGUCUUCAGACCCACCAUGUUGAACCAUUGAGUAUAGCUUUCAUUAACGUUUGAAAUCUUAAUAUACCAAUAGCAUAGAGAGGGGAAAGACAUCUGAAACAUUUUUUCAUUGCCUUAACUCACCUUCUUGUACCUUCAGAACUUUCAUUUACAUAACUUAAACCACUUUCUUAUACCUCUAGAACUUUCUUAAGUUUUUGAGUCCGUUCUACACGGCCUUGGACCCUCAGACUCACAUAAGCUUUCACAUCCUUAGUCUUUCAUUGUUUACAUAAGUUUUCACAUCCUCCAUCUAACCAUUUACCAGGGACAUGAACACUUACUACUGAGAGCAGUCUCUGCAAAGCAAGUUCCUUUAAGUCCUUUUGUUUGUUUUGUUUUGCUCUGUUCUCUGUCACAGUCAGGUGACCUGUCUGACACAGGUCAGAGAUUAUGGAGAAAACCUUUAAACAUGCUUGGGUCUAGAAGAGGGGGCAUCAUAACAACACCAGAGCCAGCUAUCCAAUAAAGCAGAAUAGCUCUCUGUUAAUUAUAAUUUAACAUUAUCCAUACCUAAAAGACAUUUGAAUCCCUGCUAAACUGAAUCUAGUGAUCAGAAAUCCAAGAGAGAAAUUCUGAGCCUUGACUCUCAAAGCUGAGAGCUGACAAUGGCAGAUAGAAAAAAAAAAAAAAAAAAAAAACACAGAGUUCAAAAAUCUCGCAUGCUUAAAAGAGACCACUCAGAAACAAAACAUGCGGUGAACACCAUCAUGCAUAAAUUCAAAUGAGCCUGACCCGUUUCCGUCUCAGCUCCCA